GCAGCCGUGGCCUACUGGUUAGCGCUUCGGACUUGUAACCGGAGGGUUGCCGGUUCGAACCCUGAGUAGGAACGGCUGAA
rnacentral:tRNA from 1 species